rnacentral:tRNA from 1 species
GAGGGUAUGGCUCAGUGGUAGAGUGUGAGCUUAGUGUUCACAAGGUCCUGAGUUCAAUCCCCAGUCCCUACA